rnacentral:rRNA from 1 species
UAUGAACGCUGGCGGCGUGCCUAAUACAUGCAAGUCGAGCGAACAGAUAAGGAGCUUGCUCCUUUGACGUUAGCGGCGGACGGGUGAGUAACACGUGGGUAACCUACCUAUAAGACUGGGAUAACUUCGGGAAACCGGAGCUAAUACCGGAUAACAUUUGGAACCGCAUGGUUCUAAAGUGAAAGAUGGUUUUGCUAUCACUUAUAGAUGGACCCGCGCCGUAUUAGCUAGUUGGUAAGGUAACGGCUUACCAAGGCAACGAUACGUAGCCGACCUGAGAGGGGGAUCGGCCACCCUGGAACUGAGACACGGUCCAGACUACUACGGUAGGCAGCAGUAGGGAAUCUUCCGCAAUGGGCGAGAGCCUGACGGAGCAACGCCGAGUGAGUGAUGAAGGGGUUCGGCUCGUAAAACUCUGUUAUUAGUGAAGAACAAAUGUGUAAGUAACUGUGCACGUCUUGACGGUACCUAAUCAGAAAGCAACGGCUAACUACGUG